GUUGUUGCAUCCACAUGACACAAGCCUUCCAUAAUCCCGCUCCACCACCGCCCCUCCUCCACGUUACUUGGAGCCAGGGAGGACACGGAGGAUUAAAAAACACCUAAUGGACUCUUUUAGAAGAGGUAAUUAUCUUGACUCGAGUUUCUGCGUGCAAAAGUUGCCGGACGACACCAUUUCUUGAGAGAGAGAGAGAGAG